rnacentral:rRNA from 1 species
GACGAACGCUGGCGGCGUGCCUAAUACAUGCAAGUCGAACGCAGUGGCGGACGGGUGAGUAACACGUGGGUAACUGCCUGGUAGCGGGGGAUAACUAUUGGAAACGAUAGCUAAUACCGCAUACUACCAGAUGGACCUGCGGUGUAUUAGCUAGUUGGUGGGGUAACGGCUUACCAAGGCGACGAUACAUAGCCGACCUGAGAGGGUGAUCGGCCACACUGGGACUGAGACACGGCCCAGACUCCUACGGAGGCAGCAGUGGGGAAUCUUCCGCAAUGGACGAAAGUCUGACGGAGCAACGCCGCGUGAGUGAUGACGGCCUUCGGGUUGUAAAGCUCUGUUAAUCGGGACGCGGUACCGGAAUAGAAAGCCACGGCUAACUACGUGCCAGCAGCCGCGGUAAUAC